rnacentral:rRNA from 1 species
GAUGAACGCUAGCGGCAGGCUUAACACAUGCAAGUCGAGGGGCAGCGCGGGAUAGCAAUAUCCUGGCGGCGACCGGCGGAAGGGUGCGUAACGCGUGAGCGACAUGCCCGUUGCCCGGGGACAACCGGUGGAAACGCCGACUAAUCCCCGAUGGGAUAUUGUGCCGCAUGGCACGAUAUUGAAAGUUACGGCGGCGACGGAUUGGCUCGCGUCCGAUUAGCUUGUUGGCGGGGUAACGGCCCACCAAGGCUGCGAUCGGUAGGGGUUCUGAGAGGAAGGCCCCCCACCAUGGGACUGAGACACGGCCCAUACUCCUACAGGAGGCAGCAGUGAGGAAUAUUGGUCAAUGGGCGGAAGCCUGAACCAGCCAUGCCGCGUGCGGGAAGGAGGCCCUAUGGGCUGUGAACCGCUUUUGCCUGGGGGCAAUAAGGGCGUCGCGCACGUCCGAUGAGAGUACCAGGCGAAUAAGCAUCGGCUAACUCCGUG